rnacentral:lncRNA from 1 species
AAACUCUCCGAAAGUCGAGAAACGAUCGCCACGCAUAUCAUUCUCUCUUCCUAAAGAGAGAAAAAGUUAGAGACAUGAACGUCGUCUUAAAACCGUUUCGUUUCUGGCAAUUUUCUCGGAACCGACAUAUCCCAAGUCGUCAACGUGGAAACAACCAAAUCACAGUCCAAGCGUCGUCUAUAAAUCGCCCCGAAUUAUCGAUCAUUCCAAACAUCAGAAGAGGAAACGUACACAACCCUUCAAAGUAUCGGUUCAACGGUUUUCUUUCGUAAAAAAAAAAAAAGGGGGAGUACGUACGUAUACUAUACUCGUAUACUCCCAA